rnacentral:lncRNA from 10 species
UUCACCAUGUUGGCCAGGCUGGUCUCGAACUCCUGGCCUCAAGUGAUCCACCCGCCUGGGCCUCCCAAAGUGCUGGGAUUACAGGUGUGAGCCACCACGCCUGGCCUAAUUUUUGUAUUUUUUUAUAGAGAUGGGGGUUUCAUGAUGUUGCCCACGCUGGUCUUGAACUCCUGGGCUCAAGUGAUCCUCCCACCUCAGCCUCCCAAAGUCCCAAAGUGUUGGGAUUAUAGGUGUGAGGAACCGUACCUGGCCAGUACACAAUUCAUUAUAACUAAGUUUUUUUUUUUAUAAACUGACUAGUAAAAAUUAUGUAUAUUUAUGUUGUACAACAUGUUUUGAUAUAUGUAUAUGUUAUAGAAUGGCUAAAUCAAGCUAUUUAACACAUGCAUCACCUGACAUACUUUUUUGUAGUGAGAACACUUAAAAUCUACUCUACUAACAAUUAUCAGAUAUUGAUAUAUUGCUGUUAAUUGUCAUGACCAUGAUGUAUGAUAGAGCUCUUGAACUUAUUCCUCAUGUCUAACAAAAAUGUUGGAUCUCUUGGCCAUAUCUGCCAAGUUUUCCCAACCCCCAGUCUCUGGUAACCUCCAUUUACUCUCUGUUUCUAUGAAUUUGAGUUUUUUUACACUCCACAUAUAAGUGAGCUCAUGUGCUUAUUUGUCCUUCAAUGCCUGGUUUAUUUCAUGUAACAUAAUGCACUCCAGGUUCAUCCAUGUUGUUGGAAAUGACAGGAUUUCUUUCAUUUAUAAGGCUGAAUAGCAUUUUAUUGUGGAUAUAUACCACAUUUUCUUUAUUCAUGCACUGGUGGACACUUAGAUAGAUGCCACUAAUCUUGUGAAUAAUGCUGCAUUGAAUGUGGGGAGUGCAGAUAUCUCUUUAACAUACUGAUUUAAUAUCUUUUGGAUAUAUUUCCAGUAGCGGAAUUGCUAGAUUGUGUGGCAGUUCUAUUUUUAAUUUUGUGAGGAACCUCCAUAAUGGCUGUAUUAUUGGUUUACCAUAAUGGCUCAUUGUGGUUUUACUUUGCAUUUCCCUGAUGAUUAGUGGUAUUGAGCAUUUUUUUUUCAUAUACCUGUUGGCCAUUUGUACUUCUUCUUUUGAGAAAUGUCUAUUUAGGGCCUUUGGUCAUUUCUAAGUCAGGUUAUUUGGGCAGGGCACAGUGGCUCAUGGCUGUAAUCCCAGCACUUUGGGAGGCCAAGGCAGGUGGGUCACCUGAGAUGGGAAUUCAAGAGCAGCCUGGCCAACAGGGUGAAACCCCGCCUCUACUAAAC